GCAAGGUUUGCCGUCAUCCGAGAAGCUCCGGCUGAUGAACGCUGUCUGGAAUCUCCGUCGCCUCUUGCUCUCACCGCAGCCUGGAGGCUGAGGCUCACCUACAGCUGCAAACCGCCUGCGCUAGCCCCGUGACUCACCCACGCCCCUUUAAAGCCACACCGGGGCAGGGCAGGGGCCACUGGAGAAGCCAUGGCUCUCAGGCUCUGCUGUUCCCGCUGGGCACUGCUCUGCUGGCUGGUGGCAUUCGUGGCACAAGGAGCAGAGGGGCUGGCUCUGCCUCCUGGAGGCACACAGCACAACGCCCACCCUACAGACUGCCAGAUCUUCCCGCUCACCCCGCCACCCGCCACAAGGAGCCCGGUGACCCGGCCCCGGCCCCGGCCCGGCACAAGGACACCCAGACAGCCCUUGGUCUUCUUCCCACAGUGGCCCAGGGUCCCCCCCAGGUUCCCAGGCCCACCCUUCCUCCCUCCGGACUGCAGCCGCCGCUUCCCGUGGCAGCCGGGGUUCUGGCCACGCUGCUGCGUGACCCCCAGGCAAUGUCAACUGGGGACAGAGCUGCGUGGGGAAAGCUCGUCGUCGGAAGAGACUGGGGAGAGGUGAGCCCUGAGCCUGAGGAGCAGGAGGAGAUCUGGCCUGUGACCAGCCGGGGAAGAUUCCAUGUCCGCCUUGCAGCUAGAGUUACGGGACCAGAACAUGAAGCUACUCAUUUUAUGGCCAUGACUAGAAAUCAUUCUCCUCAUCAGCAGUGAAGACAACGGAUUAUAGGUGAUUUCUGUUUGAAAACUAGGGCAGUAACUAUGUCAUUCUUAUCCCUCAGGGGAUUAAUGCAAAUAAAAUCCUAAAACGGGACGUUCCAAUAAUUCCUAUCCACACCGAGAGUCGAAGAUUCAGCCCUGUCUUCUAAAUGACAGGGGAGCACAUUUAAAGAAAGAUCACUAUGAUUCCAUGAAGACAUGAAUGGCUUUUUUAAAAUAUUCUGUAGGAAACUUACUGAGCAAGGUGAACUUACAAAGUGAACUUUGAAAGAAAUGAUAAACAUUAAAGCAAAAAUGGAUGCGGAAUCUGACUAUGGGUAUAUUUUUACGUUUCGACUUUUUAUACUUUCAAAGUUAAAAACUGAAUAAUCUAACACAAAUAAUUAUGUUGAAGUGUAAUAUCCAAAUUGAAUAUUAACCUUUGAAGCAGGUGGUGUGACCAGCCUCACAAGUUCCUCACUACUGUGGUCACAUAAACGUGAAAUGAAAUGAAAACUUCCCCUGAACACUCAGCACAGGUCCACACACCAAAGCUUGAUUAAAGAGCCAUGUACGUGGGUGUCCUUUGAACUUUAGGGUUCUAUGAACAAAGAUCACUCAACCACAGGGAAGGUAUGUUCUCAGGGUGCAGGACGGGUCCCAUGGGCUGCACCCGUGGCCUGGUUGUUUCUUGCCGGGAAAGCUCACCUCAUACCUGUGCUGCUCCUCUUGCCUGUGUUCAGGAUUUGAUCGUGGUCUCUACUUCCCCACCCAAGUGGUCAGGGGCUUCCACUGGGUCUUUAAAGAAUGCUGUGCAAAGGAGGCCGCUAGUACUGCUACAAAGACAAUCAGUCAGUCAAUCAAAAACACUAAGAUACGAGCACAGGGUGGGGGGUGCCUGGGAGAAGGUGAGCCGUAUAAGAUCACUGUGCUGGGCUUGCUCCAAUAAGUGAUAUAGCAAGUGAUAAAUGUCUUCACUCACUUAGCACUAAAUAUUCAUUAUUAGAACUGGCAUUUGCUUUAAAUUUAUAUAGGUUUAUAUAAAAACUUAUUUGAAAUCAUCAUCAAGAAACUGUAUUUUGAAAUAAACCUUACCUGGGCUUUGAUUGCUCGGGAC
ensembl:lincRNA